GGAGAAUCUGAGACUUCUGAAGAGUUUCUUGCUUCUUUCCUGUGGGGCAGUGACUCCACUUCCCAGCAGUAAUGGAAUAUCCUGAAUUAGCUACAUUAAUGUUAGAACCAUUUGGACCUCACCCAGGACUUCAACUACAUUGUGAAUCCAAAUUUGGCAACUGCCUGCAUCUGAACAACAGAAGUUUCAACAUUCUGCCAACAGAGUAACUCCUGGACGACUGGCACAGAAGAAGGCACAAGGCAAAUACCCAUCUCUGUACACCCUGUGCUACUGUGUCAUGUGCUGCUCCAGGCAACUCCAAUGGAUUGGCCACCCUGGCCAAUGUGCCCUCCAAACACCAGCACUGAGUAGAAAGAGGCUCUGAUUCAUGAAAUGUGAAUUUAUGACAGUUGCCACUCUUUAAAAAAAAACAGACAGAACUUGAGCAAUACAUGACUGAUGCAUUCUCAGCCUGCUUCCUGUGUUCCAUCUGUCUUUCUGGCAGUGCAUUCACCCUCCAGUGAAACUUUCUACAUUCCACAUUUUCUAUCAAGAAAAGAAAGAGGUUGUAUUGUGAGGUUCUAGUAUGUUAGGUUUAUGUUCCCCUGCUUUCUACAAUCCUGUUCAAAGAGUUGCUGACUUAACCACAGAGAGAAUUCCAGAACAUGAGACACAGAAUAAACUUGAACAAUCAUAGUCCAUCCACUUCAUUUUCUCAUCGAAAACCAAAGGUCCAGUGAGGCUCUGGAACUCGACGCUGUAAAGGAGCGAAGGAGCAUCUAUACAGAACCUGGAUGCCUGUCUCCUUAUCCUACUUCAGCGGACUUGACUGCAAUCCGGAUUAUGCUGUUUUCUAAGCAUUUAAAAUAAAA
rnacentral:antisense_RNA from 1 species